CUACGGGCUGCUGCAGUGGGGAAUAUUGCACAAUGGAGGAAACUCUGAUGCAGCAACGCCGCGUGGAGGAUGACACUUUUCGGAGCGUAAACUCCUUUUAUAUAGGAAGAUAAUGACGGUACUAUAUGAAUAAGCACCGGCUAACUCCGUGCCAGCAGCCGCGGUAAUACGGAGGGUGCAAGCGUUACUCGGAAUCACUGGGCGUAAAGAGCGUGUAGGCGGGUUAAUAAGUCAGAAGUGAAAUCCUAUGGCUCAACCAUAGAACUGCUUUUGAAACUGUUAACCUAGAGUGUGGGAGAGGUAGAUGGAAUUUCUGGUGUAGGGGUAAAAUCCGUAGAGAUCAGAAGGAAUACCGAUUGCGAAGGCGAUCUACUGGAACAUAACUGACGCUGAGACGCGAAAGCGUGGGGGGCAAACAGGAUUAGAUACCCCAGUAGUC
rnacentral:rRNA from 1 species